UGAUGAUUGAAGCUUGCUUCAUGAUUCAACCUUGGUGAGUGGCGGACGGGUGAGUAACACGUGGGUAACCUGCCCAGAAGUGGGGGAUAACAUUUGGAAACAAGUGSUAAUACCGCAUAACAACUUARAUCACAUGAUCUUUGUUUAAAARAUGGUUUUGCUAUCUCUUCUGGAUGGACCCGCGGCGUAUUARCUAGUUGGUGAGGUAAUAGCUCACCAAGGSGAUGAUACGUAGCCGACCUGAGAGGGUAAUCGGCCACAUUGGGACUGARACACGGCCCAAACUCCUACGGGAGGSAGCAGUAGGGAAUCUUCCACAAUGGACGAAAGUCUGAUGGAGCAAUGCCSCGUGAGUGAARAAGGUUUUCGGAUCGUAAAACUCUGUUGUUGAAGAAGAAUAUAUGUGAGAGUAACUGUUCACGU
rnacentral:rRNA from 1 species